AGACACUUUGCUCUCGUCUAGUUUGGCAACUCUCAGGCAAACGAUUCAGCGAGUCCUAGCGAAUCGAGUCUGUACAGUGUCUUUAUGCUAAUAAGGCUAAGUAGGCUGUUACUACACACUUGCUGAGCUGGUGCGAACAUGGAGCACGCAAGACUCCUUCUCCUUCUGAUCAUGGGAAACUUCCUCGCAAGUACCGAUCAUAAUUUUAGACUGCUCUGUGGAGAAUAACACCACCUGUGACUGCGUUCACAAUGCCACAUUGGACACUGCUGAAUAUUAUGAGAAGUACAGAGACUGCGAUUGGAGUUUGAGGAACAAGGAGGAUAUAGUUCUUCAACUACUAACUCCAGUCCCACAUGUAACUGUCCCAUGCAGCUGGCAUGAAGUUUACUUGAAGUUGAACUGCGACAGCCCAAAGCAUGAAGUGAUUCUGCAUUGGUACAAGUUUGAAAGCAAAACUGAACACAUCAGUUCUGGAGAAACAAAACAUGCAUGACCACCGACGAUGAUAGAAGUACAUUAUGCCAUCCACAAAAAGUUACAUAGUUUAUUUGAUCUGCAAGAAUGAUUUUUAGAGUACUUUCUAGGAGUUUUAAUUCACUAUAUGGCCAAAAGUUUGUGGAAACCUGACCAUCCCAUCCAUACAGCCCUGAAUUAUAUUAGGGGGUGGGGCUUAAGCCCUAUGGGGCCUUCAUGUGUUAACAUGAAGUUCGUCUUCGUUAUGGUACCGUGUGUGUGUG
ensembl:lncRNA